rnacentral:rRNA from 1 species
GACGAACGCUGGCGGCGUGCUUAACACAUGCAAGUCGAACGGAAAGGCCCUGCUUUCAUGGUGCUCGAGUGGCGAACGGGUGAGUAACACGUGUGUGAUCCGCCCCUUACUUUGGGAUAAGCCUGGUAAACUGGGUCUCUUACUGGAUAGGACCAUGCUGUAGGCGGUGUGUUGGCAAGAUUAGUUUCGGUGCGGGAUGAGCUCGCGGCCUUGCAGUUUGUUGGUGGGGUAAUGGCCUACCAAGGCGUCGACGGGUAGCCGGCCUGACGGGGUGGACGGCCGCAUUGGGACUGUGCGACGGGCCGGACUACUGCGGGAGGCGGCAGUGGCGGAUGUCGGACCGUGGGCGGACGCGUGAUGCAGCGACGCUGCGUGGGCGAUGACGGCCGUCGGGUUGUAAGAUCCUUUCAGCCAUGACGAAGCCCUUGUGGUGACGGUAGUGGUAGAAGAAGCACCGGCUAACUACGUG